CGGUUAUACUAAGUGAUUAAGUUAUAUUCUUAGGUAAAAAGACAGUUAGGUUUAAGAUUAAAGAAAUUUUAGCUUAUUAAACAUCUAUAAAAAAGUAAAAUUUGUAUAUAGAUAGCUGAUUUAAAAGUAGCUUGUAGAUACUGAAGCUGUGAUAAUCUUGAGGGAAACUGGGAUUAGAUACCCCAUUAUUCUUGAUUGUAAAUAUAAUUAAAUUUACCAGAGUACUAUGAAUAGUUAAAAAUUUAAAACUCAAAGGGCUUGGCGGUGUUUUAGACCUAUCAGGGGAACCUGUCUCGUAAUCGACAAUCCACGUGAUAUCUAACCUUAUUUUGUAAUCAGUUUGUAUACCGUCGUCGUCAGGUAACUUUUAAAAACAUAGAAGUUAGCAAUAAAAAUUAUUUUGAAUUAAGACGUCAGAUCAAGGUGCAGCCUAUAAUAAGGAGAGGAUGGGUUACAGUUAUAAAAAUUAUAAUUACGGAAAUUUAAAUGGAACUUAUUUUGAAGGAGGACUUGAAAGUAAACUAAAAUACAUAAAUAGCUUGAAUAAGGCUCUG
rnacentral:rRNA from 1 species